rnacentral:rRNA from 1 species
UACGUAGGUGGCAAGCGUUGUCCGGAUUUACUGGGCGUAAAGAGCGCGCAGGCGGUCGUUCAAGUCGCGUGUGAAAGCCCCCGGCUCAACUGGGGAGGGUCACGCGAUACUGAUCGACUCGAAGGCAGGAGAGGGAAGUGGAAUUCCCGGUGUAGUGGUGAAAUGCGUAGAUAUCGGGAGGAACACCAGAGGCGAAGGCGGCCGGCUGGACCUGACCUGACGCUGAGGCACGAAGGCGUGGGGAGCGAACGGG